CUCGGAGAGGGUGGGGAUGUCAGAGGCAGGUAGGCCCUUAAGUCCAUAAAAGAGCUAACAGCCUCCCUUCAAUAAUUAUAUCUCUAUAAAAAAUAAUAAAGAAGAUACAGGGCCACAAUUUUAUGGGCUUUAUGCUAAUGUGAUGCUGGAACUCACCAGGAGAAGGUACCACCGAAGACACUGGCGCGUUGCUGGGAAGCACAAUCUGUCUGUCCAUCAGGCGUACCUAGUGCAGCGAGAUUUCCAUGCGAGUGGACACCCUGGGCCAUGGUCCGUCCUGACCCUCGUCCUCUCUCAAUCUGUAUUCUGCUCAGACUCCACUGAACCCUUCAGGCUUUAGAAUGUCCUGCCUGUUUGCUGCAGUGCUGCCAAAUUAACUCCCCUGGUGGGAAAUAACUGAAAAAAUGCCCAUCAUGGACUCCUCCUCCUCUGUGGAAGGGCGAAAAUAUUCUUGGGUGGAAAUUGCAUGCAAAGAGCAAAGGCUGGUACCUUCAGCAGGUUUCUCUACUCUCAGAUUUAACUCUUCCCACUAAGACCCCAGUCCCCUGACCUUCAUUUUUUUUUGCCGUGCAGGGGACAGGGUGCAAAUUCUUCUGGACGUUAGGAUAACAAAGUGGCCAGUAUGUGUCUGCUGUUACUCCGUACGUGUAGCUCUAUGUGCUUCUACCUUAGCCUCGUAAUGAGCAGUGGCCUGUGAGGUACCCAGGCAAGGGACAGGUGACCUGGCCUAAUUUCAUGUGUAUUCCUCAGCCAAUGUCUUUCUGAUCACCAGUGAAAGAGUCUCCGGGACUGGCAUAGCCGCGGCUGGCACUCAAUAAGAUCAUACUCUUGGCUUUAAUUCCAUUUAAAUCCACAUUCUUGCUGGAUUUGUAGCCACAUUUAAAGCAGAUCCAGGUCUUUUAGGAAAGGCCUCCAAAUACCCACUUAAGGAGCUGAAAACGGUAGCGUUGACAAGGCUGGCAGUCCUUUUCCCCUUUCUGCGUGUAUAGACCCCCUGCAGACUGGCGCAUCUGCCCCCGUGCAAGAGUGGAGGUGGCCGUCCGGGGGAGAGCCACUCACGCGGCAGGCUCUGCCUGGUCCGAGCUGUGCUUGUCACACUCCAGGCCUCUUUUGAGAUCUGAACUCCUUUGGCCAAGUAGAAACCCAGUGUCUUGAAAACAAAACAACCCUCCAUCACACCUCUGAUUUGAUAAGCAAAGGUUUACAAAUAAAAAUAGAAAUGCUUUGCCCAAGGAAGCCACACUUGAAAAUCCUAAGGGCACCCGCUCCACUGCCACCUCACAUGCAAUCCCGCCAGCAUGCUGGCUCUCCCUCCGUGUGAACUGGAAGAUGACGGGACAGCAGAGGAAACACACACAGAACCUUUGAUAGCAGAGCAGGGGAUCGGUUGGUGCCAUGAUAUACAUAUUCAUAACCUGGCACUUCUAGGAGCUGGGGUAGGCAUUAGGGACCAGUGGAAAAAAAAAAAGUUGAUUUAUGAUGAUCUCAAAAACAUGCUCUCCAAAGAUGUAUUCUGCAGCUCCGAGACCUCAGGUUUAGGCUCUAUUAAUUUUACAGAGCUGUCUGGGAUUACCCAUCUGUUUAAAGGUUAACUGUCUUCACACUUAUGAAAUGGGUAUUUCUGUUUGGGUUCUUACUUUGUUCCUGUUAAUGAUUUAUAAAAUACAAAAUGCAAAGCCAGUGAAAUAGCUUUAAAUCUUCAGGAUGAAAUACCUACCUGACCACAUUUUUGAGAGACACAAAGCAUUAUUCAAGUCCUUUGCAGCGACAACCUGGAAAUUCUGCUACUUGACACGUCUCAUUUUGAAUAGAGUGAAAGGAAAACAUCAACCAUGCAAAAUCAUGUAUUUUAGAAAGGAAAAUCCAUUUGGAGAUCUGCAUUCAUGCUCUGGAGGCUUAGCUGUAAGACAUAGCAUUAAUUAUAAUGGUUUUCUACCAUCAUUAACUAGAUUUCAAUGUACAACGUGAACUGAAGAAUUGUCCUUCGGCACCUCCAAAUUGCAGAACUUGAACACCUCAAAACACAUGCACCGGACCCUAGGAUGCCCAGGCUGGGAGCUUGCAAGUCAGCUUAAACGGGGUGAAUUCACUUCAACACCAGGGAGAAGAUGCUCUUUCAAUCACUAAAACUUUCAGUGGAUCUAACUGAAGCAGGCUUGGUAUUUCCUUCUGGCUACCAGCUCUCAUGUUAAUCACACUUCAUUGUCCUAUGUCUUCCUCUUCAUCUACUGCCCAUCAAUUUAUCAAUAAAGCACUUCUGAAUUUCACCAAGUAUCCAACUUCCUUCUUCUGAGGUCUUCACGGGAUCAACAUUUUUGAGACUGCUCUUUUUCACUUAAAAACCAAAAUGGACGCAUCAAUUCCCACAACUCUUUCCCUCUCCCUCCUAAAGUCCCUUUUACUUUCGCCAUGUCUGCAGCCCAUUGGGACAAACAUUUCCAAAUCUCUGGGCUACUCUGUAAAAAAGAAGCUUUAUUGAGGUAUACUCUAUAUUCUGUAAAGUUCAUCUAUUUGAAGCAUACGACUCAAUGAAUUUUAGAAAAUCCACAAAAUUUUGCCAUCAUCACCAUCACCUAACUUCAGAAUGUUUCCAUCACCCCAAAAGAAACUCUGUUCCCACUGGCAGUUGUUCCACACUUCUUGUUGCCUGACCUACAAGAGUCCCAGGCAACCACUACUCUAAUUCUCUUCUUUAUGAACUUGCCUAUUCUGGACAUAUCAUAUAAAGGAAAUCAUGCAACAAGUGGUCCUUUGUGACUAUCAUGAGGUUUUUGAAGUUCAUCUGUGUUGUGGUGUGUGUCAGACUCCAUUCCUUUUCAUGGCUGAACAGUAUUCCACUGUACAGAUAUAAUAUGUCUCUUUAUCCACUUCCCAGUUGACAGACAUUUGGGCUAUUCCCCAUCUAUACUGAAAUCUUGCAUCUGGGUCUGACUGUAUGAACAGGUCCAUGCUACGAAUUCCUCUUUCUCCAUCAGAGGCUGUGAAGCUCGUCUCUCUCUGAGCAGCCCAGAAGUCCUCAACCCAUAGCUUUGGAGAUAUUACCUGGUCCAUAGUUUUUCUAAAUAAUCUUCUUCCUGUCUCUUCAGCUUGUACCCUGUAGUCUAAUCAGUCAACCAAUGGGUGUAUUUUAUAUAAAC